UACGUAGGGGGCAAGCGUUGUCCGGAUUUAUUGGGCGUAAAGAGCGUGUAGGCGCCAAGCAGGUCAGCUGUGAAAACUCGAGGCUCAACCUCGAGACGUCGGUUGAAACCGCUUGGCUAGAGUCCGGAAGAGGAGAGUGGAAUUCCCGGUGUAGCGGUGAAAUGCGCAGAUAUCAGGAGGAACACCGAUGGCGAAGGCAGCUCGCUGGGACGGUACUGACGCUGAGGCGCGAAAGCGUGGGGGAGCAAACAGG
rnacentral:rRNA from 1 species